rnacentral:rRNA from 1 species
CCUACACGACCGUACCGCAAACCGACACUGGUGCGCGAGAUGAGUAUUCUAAGGCGCUUGAGAGAACUCAGGAGAAGGAACUCGGCAAAUUGACACCGUAACUUCGGAAGAAGGUGUGCCUUUAGUAGGUGAAGGGAUUUACUCCUGGAGCCCAAUGAGGUUGCAAAAAAUCGGUGGCUGCGACUGUUUAUUAAAAACACAGCACUCUGCAAACACGAAAGUGGACGUAUAGGGUGUGACGCCUGCCCGGUGCUGGAAGAUUAAAUGAUGGGGUGCAAGCUCUUGAUUGAAGUCCCAGUAAACGGCGGCCGUAACGAUAACGGUCCUAAGGUAGCGAAAUUCCUUGUCGGGUAAGUUCCGACCUGCACGAAUGGCGUAACGAUGGCCACACUGUCUCCUCCUGAGACUCAGCGAAGUUGAAAUGUUUGUGAUGAUGCAAUCUCCCCGCGGAAAGACGGAAAGACCCCAUGAACCUUUACUGUAGCUUUGUAUUGGACUUUGAACAGAUCUGUGUAGGAUAGGUGGGAGGCUUUGAAGCAGGGUCGCUAGAUCUUGUGGAGCCAACGUUGAAAUACCACCCUGGUGUGUUUGAGGUUCUAACCUAGGCCCGUAAUCCGGGUUGGGGACAGUGCAUGGUAGGCAGUUUGACUGGGGCGGUCUCCUCCCAAAGUGUAACGGAGGAGUUCGAAGGUACGCUAGUUACGGUCGGACAUCGUGACGAUAGUGCAAUGGCAUAAGCGUGCUUAACUGCGAGACUGACAAGUCGAGCAGAUGCGAAAGCAGGACAUAGUGAUCCGGUGGUUCUGUAUGGAAGGGCCAUCGCUCAACGGAUAAAAGGUACUCUGGGGAUAACAGGCUGAUACCGCCCAAGAGUUCAUAUCGACGGCGGUGUUUGGCACCUCGAUGUCGGCUCAUCUCAUCCUGGGGCUGUAGCCGGUCCCAAGGGUAUGGCUGUUCGCCAUUUAAAGAGGUACGUGAGCUGGGUUUAAAACGUCGUGAGACAGUUUGGUCCCUAUCUUCCGUGGGCGCUGCAGAUUUGAGGAAGCCUGCUCCUAGUACGAGAGGACCGGAGUGGACGCACCUCUGGUGUAUCGGUUGUCACGCCAGUGGCAUUGCCGAGUAGCUAUGUGCGGAAGAGAUAACCGCUGAAAGCAUCUAAGCGGGAAACUCGUUUCAAGAUGAGAUCUGCCGGGGCCUUGAGCCCCCUGAAGAGUCGUUCAAGACCAGGACGUUGAUAGGUCGGGUGUGGAAGCGCAGUAAUGCGUUAAGCUAACCGAUACUAAUUGCUCGUGCGGCUUGACCCU